CUCCCCGCCACACAGACACCCGAACUGUAGCCCGCAUCUCCACACGCUCUCAGCCGCGCGCGCCCUCUAGCUCGCCCGCGCGCGCCGGCGCCCCCCUCCCCGCCACGUGACCGGCGUCCCAGUCCGACCCGCGCGCUGCGCCCCUGCAGAGCGACGCGGAGCUAUCGCACCCUGCCAGACUCGCCCCUUGGUCCCUGUCUGACGAGCUCUAGGCAACCUGCCCUCGUUCGGAACACAAAUGUCGGUCUUACCCCUCAGUUUCUGCCAGAGAAAAAGGAAAAGUCACCUAGAGGCCUGACUCUGACGGGUGGGGGGAGACGAGCGCGCGGAGUAGCGGGAAGCGACUGAGGAGUGGGGACUGGGCAGCGUUUGAAUGGAUGCGGGUGCCGCUGGCACCCAGGAAGACGCCGGGGGCCGGCGCUGUGGAGCCGGGCACGGGCUGGGAUGUGUGUGGAUUCCAAUCCGGGCCUGACACCAGUUCAGUGACCUCGGAAAGUUCCCCAACCCUCUGGGCCUGUUUCCUCCCUCUGAAGUGGCGACAGUAACAGAACCGACCUCGUAGGCUCAUCGGGAGGCCCUGAAGGGAGAACCCAUGCAACUUGCCACCACAGAGCCAGGCCCGCGGCGGUUGGCGCCUGGUGGGUAUUAAAGACGAGUCGGGAAAGAAGAGCAGGUUGAUAGACUGGAUGCAGCUAUGGUAAUCUGCCUCAGGAAAAUGCCGGACUGUUGUUUGCAAGCUUGUUAAGUGAGCAAAAUUUGGGAAGAUUUCAAGAGUGAAACAACCAUUAUGAAAGCAUGUGCCAUGAAAGCUGCCAUUGAAACCAGAGCUUCACCACAGAGAACUACCCCCUGCUUAUCUGAAUUUGGAGUAGUUAUCAGUCUCUAGUCAGCUAAGUUGGGGACAAAGAUGAUGGGACAUGGUUUUGUUAGCAGCUUAAAUUUUUUUUUUUUUUUUGAGAUGGAGUUUCACUGUUUCACCCAAGCUGGAGUGAAGUGGUGCGAUCUCAGCUCACUGCAACCUCCGCCCCCUGGGUUCAAGCAAUUCUCCUGCA